CAGCAUUCUUCGAUUCUGUUAGCGAAAGCUGAAAGGCAAGCGUCAGUGUCACAAUACCAGCGUCUCCUCCUUCAUCUAAUCCAAAAUCCAACCACACCUGUAUCUUGCAAACACAAAAACAAAACCCUGCAACAAUCUCUCAACCCAAAACUUUGGGUUUCUAAAUUGCAAUAGGGCAGCAGGUAUCAAGUCAAGCAGUGAAAGAAAGAAAGAAAGAAAUGGGUAGGAUAUUUGUGGUGGAGUUAGACGGCAGGUCUUACAGAUCCAAGUAUUGUGGUACCCACUUGGCUCUUCCUGUUGAUCUGGUCUCAAGGUCUUUUCAUUGCCAUAGUGGAAAGGCAUACCUCUUCAAUAAUGUGUGAGUUCCUUACAAUUCUUUCAUGGACUUACUGGUCUCUUAACUUUUUAAUGACGUUUAUUAAGCUCAUUUUUUAUUCUACACGAUUCGUGGUUUUAUUAUUGAUCCACUUGUAGAUUUUUGGCAUUAUUUUUAUGGUCAAAUUCUUAGUAUUUGAUUCUAAAAAGUUGUUGCUUUUUUUUUGUCUAUAUUGUCUAUACAGCAAAGAAAUCCCAAGCUAUAGAGAGUGAUUGAAAUAUUGCUGCACUUAUUAUAAUUGAUCCUGUUCCACAGAAAAAAUGACUAGCUUAUGAUUCUUUUAUACGCAUUUAAUUUUUCAUUAUCUUUUAACAUUCUGAGUUUUGUUCUGUUGAAUGUGAUCCUCCUUGAGUGGAGCUUAUGCAGUUUGGGCAAGUGAAAAUACCUUGGAAUUUGAGAUGGCAUAUUUGCGCAUAGGUCAUUAUCUUAGUUGAACAACCUCCAUCAUUCAGGCUUAUUAUCAUUAUGCACAUGGAUUUUAUUGUGUACAUGAAAUUUCUAUAUCUGUUCUUUGUAAGUGCUUGUCUGGAAAAAAAAAGAAAAGGUUCUUCAACUGCAAAAGUUGGUAUUUAUAGCUUCUUUUCUUUAUUGACUAGUCAUAGAUCACCAGAAUCAGCAAAAAGGGGUGGAAACUACAACCCAAGAUGUUGAGAAUAUAUGAGAAAGGCAUCUCAGAUGAACAAAAAUGAAAACUAAAGUCUUUGAGUCUGAAAAUCAAUAAAACGAAGGAUUGGAAACUUAAAAAUGGGUGGGGAAGGACUGAUCUGAUAAUAAAUUCCUCAACAUUCUCAUCUUCGAACUAAUGCAUAUUAGGUUGAAAAAAACCCCUGAAAGUUUGUAUGAGAUUUCUUGGGUUUUGUUGGCAGUCACAAGUGUUUGAUUUCUCAUUAGAGAUGGAUGCUAUGGUAUCUUUUGACAUAAUACUUUAUGAUUGUUUUGCUUCAUAAUGUACACAAUCUAAGGCCUUAAGGGCCAAUAUUUCCUGGUUGAGGUUUUUCAUGUGUUUCUAUGCCUAUUAAUUAUAUUAUUGCCUGAGUUUUAAUGAUUGAAGCCAUGUAUGAUAGAUGGUUUUUGAAUAGUUGUAAUUAAUUGUGUACAGGAAAUGAUUUGCUCCAGUUUUUUUGUUCUCAUGAUUCUUUCUUCUGCAGCUUCUGUUCUAAAUCCCAGUUUGUUCUUGCUUUCUUAACUCAGGAAAUCUAAAAGAAACUUUUAGAUUUUAAUUCAUGAAAUAUAAAGAAACUUUUAGAGUGAAUAUCAUGCAAUAGUAGCAUUAAAUGUGAAAAGAAAACGAAAGUCUUUCCUCGUCAAAAUGUUCAGACGAAAGUCUUUCCUCGUCAAAAUGUUCAGCCUUCAUCAAAACCUCAAGAUUUUCCUGCUAAAGCUUCCUCAUCCUUUCAUUGAUUGAAAUUGAUGCAGCUUAUCCCAAUGUAAGUACUGAAAUAGAAUUCGUUUGAUUUUUCAUGCUUAUUGGUAUCAAUUCUGGUUGCUUGGAUAGUGAUCACUGCUUUGAAUGCUGUUAUUCCUAUGAUAGCCGAUGACAACUCAAACUGUGUAUUAUGUUUGAAAAUUAUGAAUAAAGAAGACCUCUCACCUAAAUGGUUCAACCGGUAGUAUUAGUUUGCACUUUUGCCUUCCUGGAGGGACUUUUGUAGGAAUACAGUUCUUGGUUUUACACACGCUCAUAUACAGAUGUGGGCACGUGCACAUACGCAUUUCAGUAUCUAGGUCCACAAGUGAAUGGAUUUACAUCUCACACAAGGUGUUUGUUCUCACCUUGAGCAAUUUGAUGUCAUGUAUCCCAUAAAACAACAAAGCUGCAUACCUUGGAGUUUGUGAUUUCAGGGUUAACAUCACAAUAGGAGCCUUGGAGGAGAAAAU
rnacentral:misc_RNA from 1 species